UCUAACUCUUCUUCAGAUGUUGCAAAACUCAAGGUUUGUUUAUUGUUUUCAUCUUUAGCACUCGUUACACAUGUUAUUUAAUAGAUUUCUUUAUUGGCAUGCCGAGUUGGAGUCUGGAUGUGUUAGAUUGAAGUUUUUAGACGAAUGAUAAAGAGAAUGCAACAAUUGCCUGCUGGCGAGCUAUCUCGGAGAUGAAGAACGGCCCUUCAAGCUGUUCACUGACUUCAUAGUACGCCGGUAAGCAGUGGUGUAUUUUUUGUAUAAUUCCCAGCCUCUUCUCCUCAGAGUCUAUCUUUGUGCACAAAAACAAGACGAAUAUAAAUACAUGCCACCGUGGGAUGUGAAGACACGGACAUGAUAAUGAGAGACAUAAUGUAGCUGAACAGAAAUUAAUAUAAUUAUAUAUAUCUUGUUCCUUGUCUUCUUUGUCUUUGAAUUGUGACCUUUUGAAGCAUGAUAUACUAGCUUAUUAAAUUGUGCAUGAGAACAGUAUGAUACAGGCUGAAUACAGGCCGUUUGUACGGGCUGUUUACAGGCUGUAUGUGAACGGCCUGUUUAGUAGUGUCUACCCAACGGUCCCGUAUCAGGAUGU